GUGCUCACUUUAGCAGCACAUACACUAAAAUUGGAACAACACAGAGAAGAUUGCAUGGCCCCCGUGCAAGGAGGACAGGCAAAUUCAUGAAAAAAAAGGAAAUUGG